UAUGAUCCAACAAUCGAAAGCCUGUGACAAAAACCUUGGGUGAGGAAAGCAGGCUUUGUGGUUGUAAACCUGUUUUAUCUGGGAAGAAGCUAAAGUGACGGUACUUGAAGAAAAAGCACCGGCUAACUAUGUGCCAGCAGCCGCGGUAAUACGUAGGGUGCAAGCGUUACUCGGAAUUAUUGGGCGUAAAGAGCUCGUAGGCGGUUUAUUAAGUGAGAUGUGAAAUUCUGAGGCUUAACCUAGGACUUGCAUUUUAUACCGGCUAACUAGAGUACAGUAGGGGAUAAGGGAAUUCCCGGUGUAGCGGUGGAAUGCGCAGAUAUCAGGAGGAACACCAAUGGCGAAGGCACUCUCUGGGCAGAACUACGCUGAGAGUAGCG
rnacentral:rRNA from 1 species